rnacentral:rRNA from 1 species
GAUGAACGCUGGCGGCGUGCUUAACACAUGCAAGUCGAACGAAGCACUUUAUUUGAUUUCCUUCGGGACUGAUUAUUUUGUGACUGAGUGGCGGACGGGUGAGUAACGCGUGGGUAACCUGCCUUGUACAGGGGGAUAACAGUUGGAAACGGCUGCUAAUACCGCAUAAGCGCACGGCAUCGCAUGAUGCAGUGUGAAAAACUCCGGUGGUAUAAGAUGGACCCGCGUUGGAUUAGCUAGUUGGUGAGGUAACGGCCCACCAAGGCGACGAUCCAUAGCCGACCUGAGAGGGUGACCGGCCACAUUGGGACUGAGACACGGCCCAAACUCCUACGGGAGGCAGCAGUGGGGAAUAUUGCCCAAUGGGCGAAAGCCUGAUGCAGCGACGCCGCGUGAGCGAAGAAGUAUUUCGGUAUGUAAAGCUCUAUCAGCAGGGAAGAUAAUGACGGUACCUGACGAAGAAGCACCGGCUAAAUACGUG